GACGAACGCUGGCGGCGUGCUUAACACAUGCAAGUGGAGCGACGAACCAGGCUUCGGCCUGGGGCAAAGCCGCGAACGGGUGAGUAACACGUGGGUAACCUACCCCGGUGACCGGGACAACCCGAGGAAACUCGAGCUAAUACCGGAUGAGCUCCCGUCUCAUGAGGGACGGGAGGAAAGAUAGCUUCGGCCUUCGCACCGGGACGGGCCCGCGGCCCAUUAGCUUGUUGGUGGGGUAACGGCCUACCAAGGCUCCGAUGGGUAGCUGGUCUGAGAGGACGAUCAGCCACACUGGGACUGAGACACGGCCCAGACUCCUACGGGAGGCAGCAGUGGGGAAUCUUGCGCAAUGCGCGAAAGCGUGACGCAGCAACGCCGCGUGGGGGAAGAAUGCCUUCGGGUUGUAAACCCCUUUCAGUUGGGACGAAGCUUCGCCGGUUAACAGCCGGCUGGAGUGACGGUACCUUCACAAGAAGCCCCGGCUAACUACGUGCCAGCAGCCGCCGUAAGAC
rnacentral:rRNA from 1 species